GAUGAAGAACGUAGCGAAAUGCGAUAAGUAGUGUGAAUUGCAGAAUUCAGUGAAUCAUCGAAUCUUUGAACGCACAUUGCGCCCUUUGGUAUUCCAAAGGGCAUGCCUGUUCGAGCGUCAUUUGUACCCUCAAGCUUUGCUUGGUGUUGGGCGUCUUGUCUCUAGCUUUGCUGGAGACUCGCCUUAAAGUAAUUGGCAGCCGGCCUACUGGUUUCAGAGCGCAGCACAAGUCGCACUCUCUAUCAGCAAAGGUCUAGCAUCCAUUAAGCCUUUUUUUCAACUUUUGACCUCGGAUCAGGUAGGGAUACCCGCUGAACUUAAGCAUAUCAAUAAGCGGAGGA
rnacentral:misc_RNA from 1 species